UCAGAUAAUAUGCUAAUGACUAUAAGCUAGCCAUGGGGUUACCACACAUCCUCCACCAUGCUUCAUUGUGAACCACGGUUGUUCUUUGUCAGGAGAGUCUGACCAUUGCACUUCCAGCAGUCAGUGAAAGAGAAGUGAAAACGAAGGAGGGUUGAGAACAAGUCAAGAGCAUGUGGAGGUUGGGAGAAGCUGAAGGCGAACAACUCUCUGACUGUCAAGGCUAAACAAAGCUAGGCUCCAGUCAAAAGGUGUGGUUGGCAGAUGCCUCAAUGCCAAAGGUACCAGAGCUGUUAAUGGAGCUUCUGCAAAUGCCAGAAGAAGCAAUAGAAAUCAAAACAGUAAACUUAAAAUACCUGAGGAGAAGAAUGAGCCGUGUGUUUACACAUCUAUCAGCCAAACAAGAUUGUGAAUUCCAGGAGAGCAGACUCUGUGUCUUGUUUCCUGCGUGUAGAACUCGGCCUGCCUGAAGGAAAAGAAAGAGACAUGAGAGAUAUCUCUCUCUGUCUCCUCGUGCAUGGAGACCAUAUGACCAGAUAGCAAGAAAGUGGCUGCCUGCAAGCCAAGGAGAGAGAUUUCACCAGAAACCAAACCUGCUGACACCCUGAUUUGGACUUCUGGCCUCCAGAACU